rnacentral:lncRNA from 1 species
GAGCCUCAAAACCACCAAAAUCCCUCCCAGGGAGCCCCCAAAACACCCAAAUUCUUCUGUGGGAGCCCCGAAACUGCCCAAAAUCCCCCUGGAGAGCCCCAAAACCACCCAAAUUCCCCCAAGGGAGCCCCAAAACUGCCAGAAUUCCCUUAUGGGAGGCCCUGAAACCACCAAAAUCCCUCUGGGGAGCCUUGAAACCGCCAUAAUUCCCCCGGGGGAGCCUUGAAACCACCACAACUUCUAUGGGGGAGCCCCGAAACCGCCCAAAUCCCCCCCUUGAGAGCCCCAAAACCACUCAAAUUCCCCCAAGGCAGCCCCAAAACUACCAUGGUCCAUCUGGGGAGCCUUGAAACCGCCAAAAUCCCCCAUGGGGAGCCCCAAAACCACCCAAAUCCCCCUGGGGGGCCCCAAAACCACCCAAAUCCCCCCCCGGCGGCCGGACAGAGCAGCAAGACGAGGAGCAGGGGGCGAAGAAAGUCAUCGAGAACCCGAAACCGAGGGGAACGGCCCCAAAACGCGGCCCCGCGGCAAUAAAUAGGGGGUCCCCGGCCCCACGGGGGGGGUCCUCAGGUCAAAGGGGGGGUCCCCAGUAUAAAAAAAGGGGCUCCCAGUACAAAGGGGGGAGGGGAGCAGUAAAAAGGGGGGGGCUCGGCCCCAUUGGAGUGAGCUUGACCCCAAAAGGGGGUUGUCUGACCCCAAAAUGGGGGGUCCCCAGCCCCAAAAAUGGGGUUUUUCAGCCCAAAAACAGGGAGGUCCCCAAAAUAGGGGUUCUGGCCUCAAAAUGGAGGUCCCCGGUCUCAAAAAAAAGGAAGGUCCCAACCCCAAAAGGGGGGGCCCCCCCCCCCUCCUUGCCGGGACCACGGCCUGGUGUGGCCCCGCGGCCUCCGUCACCUCCAGGGCCUCCUGGGGGGGGGCUGGG